GUAGUGUGAGCAGCACAUUUACUAAAAUUGGAACGAUACAGAGAAAACUAGCAUGGCCCCUGUGCAAGGAUGACAUGCGAAUUAGUGGAGCGUUGCAUAUUUUU
ensembl:snRNA U6 U6 spliceosomal RNA